UACGAAGGGGCUAGCGUUGCUCGGAAUCACUGGGCGUAAAGGAGCUCGUAGGCGGUCUGUUACGUCUGCUGUGAAAACCCGGGGCUUAACCCUGGGCUUGCAGUGGAUACGGGCAGACUAGAGGCAGGUAGGGGAGAAUGGAAUUCCCGGUGUAGCGGUGAAAUGCGCAGAUAUCGGGAGGAACGACCGGUGGCGAAGGCGGUUCUCUGGGCCUGACCUGACGCUGAGGAGCGAAA
rnacentral:rRNA from 1 species